rnacentral:rRNA from 1 species
UACGUAGGCAGCAAGCGUUGUUCGGAGUUACUGGGCGUAAAGGGUGUGUAGGCGGUUCUUUAAGUUUGGGGUGAAAUCUCCCGGCUCAACCGGGAGGGUGCGCCGAAUACUGAGGGACUAGAGUGCGGGAGAGGAAAGUGGAAUUCCUGGUGUAGCGGUGAAAUGCGUAGAUAUCAGGAGGAACACCGGUGGUGUAGACGGCUUUCUGGACCGUAACUGACGCUGAAACACGAAAGCGUGGGUAGCAAACAGG